ACUCCAGGUGUGUGUGUGUACAGUGACUCCACUGAGAGUCUGUACUCCAGGUGUGUGUGUGUAUACAGUGACCCCAGUGAGAGUCUGUACUCCAGGUGUGUGUAUACAGUGACCCCAGUGAGAGUCUGUACUCCAGGUGUACACGUGUUUUAAGCAUGUAGAUUUCAAAAAGCAUUUUUAAGCAUGUAGAUGUUGGACAACACUGUACAGCUCAGCUUAAUGAGGAACUUGAUAUGUUUGUUUAUCAGUCAUAAAUACCAGCCUAUACAUAACUCUCACUAUUGCAUUUGCCUAAAAACGCAAAAAAACGAAACAGCAAAGCGCUAAUUAAUGCUGCACCGCUCAGCUGCAGAAAGCAGCUACAUUACAUCCAAGGCCAGUUACCUUUAAAUUAAAUCUCCGUAAAAAUACAAAUCCCAUGUUCCCUACACUCAUAAUUGUAUAAUUACACCCAAUCGGGAGGCGGCAUUUGGGUAAUUCAAUUAGUAGAAGAUUUCAAGAGCUGGCCAAUGGGGAGAGUCCUUGUGCGCCGCAAGUUUUAGAGAAAAAACGUGUCGCUAUCCGCUCGCUCUGUUUUUCGACAACUCUAAGCGAAAUCUAAAGGCCCCUCUGGCCAUGUGGCCCCUCGCCCUGCUGUGCGUCGCCGCCCUGAGCUGGCCCCGCCCCUCGCGGCCGCUGGGGCCGGACGGGGCGCUGGUGGAGGAGGGCCGCGCCCAGCUGCAGCGGGUGCAGGGCUUCGCCGCGCAGCCGCGCUACGGCGCGUGCUGGACGCGGGCGCUGGAGCGGCUCCGGGGGGGCUGCCGGGAGCUCACCGAGGACACGCAGAGCCGCGUGGCGCUGGCCUUCGCGCACUGCCACCUGCGCAGGUCGGGCCGCUCCUUCCCAGAGUGCACCGGGAGCAGCUCGGUGGAGGACUGCACCAGGCACAUGGACGCCGUGGCGUUCGGCACCUACACCGAGUUCUUCACCCACGCCCACAGCAUCUGCUACUUCCUGCAGAGCGAGCGCUGGCAGCACCAGGCCGAGAACACCAUCCACCGGCUGACGGAGAGCUCGGCCGGCAUCGCGGACCAGCUGGCCGCCACGCAGCGCCUGGCGGAGGGCCUGGCAGAGGCCCAGGGCGCGGCCAUGAGGUCGCAGGAGGCCAUCCUGAGGAACGGCGAGCUCCUGAAGCAGACGCUGCGGGACUCCGCCCAGGGGGUGCAGGAGGUGUUCGAGGAGAUGCGGGGCUCCGCGCAGGAGCAGCGCCUGGCCUUCUCCGAGAUCUUCAACCGCGUGGCCUUCCUCCAGACCUACCUGCUGUCCGAGUCGCACACACUCUGGUCGCUGCUGUACAACCUGGGCGCGCUCGGCGCCGCCUUCCUGCUCACCUCCGCCCGGCGCACCUCCGGGGCCAGGCUGCUCCUCUUCGGCCUGGUGGCUGUGAAUGUGUACCUGGAGCGGGUGAUCUGCCGGGCCCUGCUGGAGUCCACAGAGCCCAGCUUCCAGCAGUCGGAGCGGCUGGCCUGGCUGUUGGGCCUGCUGCGCCGGGCCAUGCUGCUGGCCGGCCUGCUGGUCCUGGCGGCGGCGGCCCUGCGGUUCCGGGACGCGCGGCGCGAGAACCUGGAGAUCCUGAGGCAGCUGGGGGAUCUGCGCAGGAGCGUGGAGCUGAGCCUGCGGAGGACGGAGCAUCUCUCCCAGGCGGCGGACUGGGAGGUGCUGCAGGGGAGGAUCAAGGAGGAGAAGCUGGCAGGCGGGGAGGGAGACCAGGAGUGGAGUCGGAAGGACGUGUCCCAGGAUCCGGAGGUGCUGGAGGGGUCGUUUAUCCCGGCUCCCCAGAUGCCCCCUGACGCCCCGGUUUCGGUGAAGGAGCUCCUGCUGUCUGAGAACACUGUCUCCGAGUCUCGGCAGACCCCCCGAGCCCCGGGAGAGGGGGGCGCCUCCAGUCUGGUGCAGAAGCGCGGCCGGGCUCGGCUCCGGCGGGGUGACCGCGCGCCCCCGGACCUGGUGUACGCGGUGCUGGUGGACCCGGAGCAGCAGCCGAGGUACAACCUGAGGAGGAGUCGGAAGUCCAUGCCUGGCGCCGUGUCUGCAGGAGAAUCGCAGUGACGCUGGGACAGAGGGGCACAUCUGGGCCUGCCAGCCCUGGGGUCAGGGUGGUUGUGCUCAAGACAAGAUCCUUGUAGGGAAUGAAACACGUUUUUAUUUGAAGAAGCCACCCUCCUGUUCAUGAUUCAGUGCUAGUGACGCAGGACUACCGUUGAGAGCAGCCUGUUCAAGUCAGAUCCUGAAUUUCCUAGUAGCAACAGGCUUAUUUCAUAUUUGUGUCUCGGUGUGGAGUCUUGUGAUGUCUUCUUCUUCUAUUUUCAAUCUGUUCUGCCUUUUUUAAAAUAAAGACUAUUUUUUUGCAUUUGGUAA